rnacentral:rRNA from 1 species
CGGAGGGCUAGCGUUGUUCGGAAUGACUGGGCGUAAAGCGCGCGUAGGCGGAUCGGAAGUUGGGGUGAAAUCCCGGGCUCAACCUCGGAAUGGCCUUCAAACUCCUGGUCUUGAGUUCGAGAGAGGUGAGUGGAAUUCCGAGUGUAGAGGUGAAAUUCGUAGAUAUUCGGAGGAACACCAGUGGCGAAGGCGGCUCACUGGCUCGACACUGACGCUGAGGUGCGAAAGCGUGGGAGCAAACAGGAUU